UUUAUUAUGUUGCAGAUGAAAACAUUAUCAUAUAGCUUGAUUAUACUAGCAGUUAUCGUGAUUGUUCAGUCUGAGAUUCCCGGAAUAAUUAAAGGUUGUCCAGGCUGCAGCGUAAAAGGGGUAUGUUACUUUCCUAACCAAGAGUGGAAACAAGGAUGUUGGACGAAGAAAUGCGUCGUCUACUCUUCCGGUAAUCUGCAAGGAUGGAAAACAUCAAUAGUAAAAACACAAUGUCCAGAUAAUCUUGGUAGAUGUGUCGAUCACGGUCAACAAGUUGCAGAAGGAUGCUUCUGUAAAGUGUCAGGAUGGCAGUGGUCAGUGAUAGGAAAAUGUUAUGGAAAAUGAAAUAAAAAAUGAGUAAUAAAAUAUUGUCUUGAAGUGCAUCGGUACUGACAUGAUUUAUAAUACAGAGACGGAAGAUACAUAAGGGAUAAAAGUCAAACACAAACAGAAAACGCCAUGGUAAAAAACGAAAAAAAACGAUCAAAAGACAAGCAACAUAGAAAAACUAAAGACUUGGCACUAAAAAACGACACGAACUCCAAAAUCCAGGGGAGGG